rnacentral:rRNA from 1 species
ACUCUUUCCCUACACGACGCUCUUCCGAUCUAUAAGCAAGGGGUAAUAUUCCUUGUGAUGACGGUACCUGUCUAAAGCCUCGGCUAACUACGUGCCAGCAGCCGCGGUAAUACGUAUGAGGCGAGCGUUGUUCGGAAUUAUUGGGCAUAAAGGGCGUGUAGGCGGGGAAUUAAGUUAGGUGUGAAAGCCACGGGCUCAACCCGUGAAUUGCACCUAAUACUGGUUCUCUUGAGUUCGGGAGAGGAGAGCGGAAUUCCAGGUGUAGCGGUGAAAUGCGUAGAUAUCUGGAAGAACACCAGUGGCGAAGGCGGCUCUCUGGCCUAGAACUGACGCUGAAGCGCGAAAGCGUGGGGAGCGAACAGGAUUAGAUACCCUGGUAGUCCACGCUGUAAACGUUGUAUACUAGGUGUUAGCGGCUUGUCUGCUAGUGCCGAAGCAAACGCAUUAAGUAUACCGCCUGGGGAGUACGCCCGCAAGGGUGAAACUCAAAGAAAUUGACGGGGGCCCGCACAAGCGGAGGAGCAUGUGGUUUAAUUCGAUGCAACGCGAAGAACCUUACCCGGGUUUGACAUGCAGCUGCACGUCCCGUGAAAGCGGGAUUCCUUCGAGGGUGCUGCACAGGUGCUGCAUGGCUGUCGUCAGUUCGUGCCGUGAGGUGUUUGGUUAAGUCCAGCAACGAACGCAACCCCUGUGUCCAGUUGCCAGCGCGUAACGGCGGGAACUCUGGACAGACUGCCCGUUCACACGGGAGGAAGGUGGGGACGACGUCAAGUCAGUAUGGCCCUUACAGAUCGGAAGAGCACACGUCUGAACUCCAGUCAACGAAUACGAUCUCGUAU